rnacentral:lncRNA from 1 species
UAUCCCCUCUCAGGAUGAAAGUCAUAAUAUAUUUCGGAGCAAGGACCACAGGGACCGGUGGCUCCACUAGUCCAAAAGUUGUCAUCUUCACCCAAGCUCUUAAUUCGCUCAGCAGGGACACCAAUCUGCACAGAAAUGAAGAGCAUGUAGAGUUGAAGACAGGCAAUUUAGUUAGAAGUUAAUUAAAAAGGAAAUAAGAGGAUGUGCAAUUUAAUUAGCUAACCUGUUGAGACCAUAACUGAAAAGCCUCAUGAUCAUCUUUAUAAACACUAAUCCAUAAUCUCUCUGGCGGCAAAGCAAAC